CCCCUUAGAGUUUGAUCCUGGCUCAGGACGAACGCUAGCGGCGGGCUUAAUACAUGCAAGUUAGGGGGGCAGCAAUGCUCACCGGCGUACGGGUGCGUAACACGUAUAUAACAUACCCUUUAGGGGAGGAUACAUCGAAGAAAUUCGGGAUAAAACUCCGUAAGCUAACGUUAGGGCAUCCUAGUGUUAGGAAAAUUUCUAAAGGAUUGGUAUGCGUCUGAUUAGCUAGUUGGCGAGGUAACGGCUCACCAAGGCGACGAUCAGUAGCUGGUCUUAAAGGAUGAUCAGCCACACUGGCACUGAGACACGGACCACACUCCUACGGGAGGCAGCAGUGAGGAAUAUUGCGCAAUGGAGGCAACUCUGACGCACCCAUGCCGCGUGCAAGAAGAAGGCGCUACGCGUUGUAAACUGCUUUUAACCGGGAAGAAACCCCUCUACGUGUGGAGGGUUGACGGUACCGGAGGAAUAAGCACCGGCUAACUUCGUGCCAGCAGCCGCGGUAAUACGAAGGGUGCAAGCGUUAUCCGGAUUCAUUGGGUUUAAAGGGUGCGUAGGCGGGGCGUUAAGUCAGUGGUGAAAUCCUGCAGCUCAACUGUAGACUUGCCAUUGAUACUGGCGCUCUUGAGUGCGCUUGAAGUAAGCGGAGUGUGCCGUGUAGCGGUGAAAUGCUUAGAUAUGGCACAGACACCUAUUUGCGAAGGCAGCUUACUAAGGCGAUACUGACGCUGACGCACGAAAGGCGGUGGAGGAUCGAACAGGAUUAGAUACCCCUGUAGUCCACGCCGUAAACGAUGAUCACUCGUCAUUGACGAUAAUACGGUCAGUGAACUAGCGAAAGCGUAGUGAUCCCCUGGAGUAGUACGAUCGCAGAUUGCAAACUCGAAUGUAUCGACGGCGCCGCACAGCGUUGGAUCAUGUGAUUCAUCGAUGAUCCGAGCAUCUUUACGAGGCCCUCGUAUCGC
rnacentral:rRNA from 1 species